GGGAGCGUAGCUCAAUGGUAGAGCGUCGCUUAGCUUGCGAGAGGUACGGGGAUCGAUACCUCGCGCCUCCA